UACGUAGGGGGCGAGCGUUGUCCGAAGUUACUGGGCGUAAAGCGCGCGUAGGCGGUUCUUUAAGUUGAUUGUGAAAUCUUCACGGCUUAACCGGAAAACUGCGGUCAAGACUGGAGAACUGGAGAUUGGGAGAGGGAUGCGGAAUUCCAGGUGUAGCGGUGAAAUGCGUAGAUAUCUGGAGGAACACCGGUGGCGAAGGCGGCAUCCUGGACCGGCAUUGACGCUGAGGCGCGAAAGCCAGGGGAGCAAACGGG
rnacentral:rRNA from 1 species